AGAAGAUAUCAUGCUGCAUAACCCAUCAGCAAACCCUCCAAAAAAGCCAGGUCCUCCCAUGAAACCAGGACCCCAAGGGCCCCCCGGGCCAGGGCCCCAGCCACCAGGUCCUCCAGGCCCAGGACCGCCCCAUCCGCCAGGUCCUCCAGGCCCGGGGCCUCCCCAUCCACCUCCUCCCGGACCGCCACCACCUGGGCCUCCCCAGCCACCUCCACCACCCGGUCCUCCUCCUCCACCAGGUCCUCCAGGCCCCAUAGCUAACUCUUUAUCUCACAAUUGCACCACGGCAGUCACCACCCGAUCAAGGUAACAAAGUAGGAGUGCAAAGAUGUAGCUAAUCCUGAUAAAGAAUAGAAUACCAAAGCUAACUAAACAAGUUUUUCAGCUGACUAUAUUUAAACAUA
rnacentral:lncRNA from 1 species